GCCGUAGGCCGUAGCCAAUCCCACGGCAACCUCAUGCUCUUGGGUUUCUAGAAGCCCUUAGAACACCAUAUUUCUCUACUUACAUGGUUACCCAAUCCUAGGGAAAAAAUAAACAAAUAUUGGGGUGGUUGGGGAUUCAACAGAACAAAGAUAAACGAAUAUUGGGGUUUCGAGCCUAAAUCCCUCGUAUCCCCCGCCAAGCAGCGUUUUCUCUCACAGUCAACUGCCAUCUAUACGAUUUCAAGCUGAUCUCCUGCUUCAAUUCUUCCGAUUUCACGGCUCAUUGGCCCCCGUUUCGGUUGAGAAGGCGUGAUUCCCUUCGUUUGCAAGCCGAAGGUGCCAUGGCGGGGGUGAUAAUGAAGUUCUUCAUUGCAUCCGCAUUUAUGUGGGCAAUUCCUCUUGCAAUUCUAUACGGUUUUAACCAUAAUUUGUUUCCCGGUUUGAAUGAUAUGUCACCCUACUCUAUGACAUUGUUGAGCGGGUUCCUUGCCAUCAUUUCAGUCAAUGUGGUUAUUGCCUUGUAUAUUUGUAUGGCAAUGAGGGAACCCUCAGAUAGGCACAAGCCAGAUCCCAAAUUCCUGGCAGAUGCCAAAGCUAGCAUAAAUCAGUCUGAACAAAACGAAGCUGAAAAUUCAUCAGCAGCACACACAAAAAAAGAAUAGGCCACCAAUCAUUAUCAGGAAUUUAGAACUUUCAGAUUUUGGAAACACCUAGAAUUAGAAAGUUGGAAAACUCGGGAUAAAGUUCUCCAGCCUUUUUUUUUUUUUUUUUUUUUUUUUUUUUGAUAUUUAUGGAUACUGUGGUUUUGUAGAAAUGGGAUUUUUCAGGUUUCAAUAACCUACCUUCUAAACAGGAUUUAAAACAACUUUUGCUCAUGGGGAAUUCAGUCAAUUUGUGCCCCAGAGUAUGUCACGGCAUGUUUUGCGGUUAUUGUGUUAUUGAUAAAAAAUGUUUCCUAGGUGGAUUGUUGGCA